CAAUAGCGUAUAUUAAAGUUGCUGCGGUUAAAAAGCUCGUAGUUGGAUUUCUGCUCAUGUCGCGACAGCUGCCCUAUGGGUGUGCUUGUUGUUGACUUGUGCAUCUUUUCGUUCAGCCUGGGUCUUUAUCGACUCAGGUCCUGGCGGAUCAAUUACUUUGAAAAAAUUCGAGUGUUUCAAGCGGGUUAUCGCCUUGAAGACAUUAGCAUGGAAUAAUGAAUCAAAGCUUCGGUUUUGAUUUGUUGGCUUGCGAUUCCGAAGUAUGAUUAAUAGGGAUAGUUGGGGGCAUUCGUAUUCGACUGUCAGAGGUGAAAUUCUUGGAUUUGUCGAAGACGAACCACUGCGAAAGCAUUUGCCAAGGAUGUUUUCAUUAA
rnacentral:rRNA from 1 species